GCAGAAUCGGAUUUCGUGAUCAGAUCCUUACCAAUUAUCCGAUCCCAUAUCCAUGAACUUGGACCGUCCAAUCAUCUUCAUCCACUCAGUUGUUCACUAAAUAUGAACUCUGAUAGAAAUGAGCAUGGUUUACAUGAGAAUACAUCCGAGUCCUCAACUCCGGAAGUGGAUUCUAAAACCAAUAUGUUACUAGGCCGCCACAUAUCUACAUCAGCACCGGAUCUUGAUCCUGAGAAGUGGGGAGACCAGAGAGGCGCUCCAGUCAACCCUGCAGUUGAGUUGUCCCUCUGUAGACACUUGCUUUUCGAAGGGAU
rnacentral:misc_RNA from 1 species